GGUAAGGACAGAAAGUAACCUGAGAGGGAAAAUAUCUGCUGUAUGAGGAAGAACACUGAUAGAAGCAUUCCAGGAUUGAAGAGGAUGUGGUAAUAUGAGUGUUGACAUGUAAAAGAAGGUUGUGUCACCACUGCUGAUAAUCUGACUCUACUGAACUAACUGGACUGCUGGUAUGUGCAUGAAGUGUUGCUAGUGGAUCAAACUGCCAUAGUCUGCUAACCUGUGAACUGAGCUGCUGAUUUCCAGACAACACAGACAGGAGUUGCUCCAAAGAACCUUUGUAAAAAGGUCCACUUUCCCUAACAUAUAGGUUAUUUCCAAGUUCUGGGUAUUAAAUGAAUAAAGUUGCUAUGAACAUCUUUGAGGAAGUAUCCUUGUUGAAUGGAGCAUCCUUUGAAUAUAUGUCCAAGAGUGGUAU